rnacentral:rRNA from 1 species
UACGUAGGUGGCAAGCGUUGUCCGGAUUUACUGGGCGUAAAGGGCGUGCAGGCGGUCUGUUAAGUCUAGGGUGAAAGCUCCCGGCUCAACUGGGAGAGGUCCUUGGAUACUGGCGGACUUGAGGGAGGCAGAGGAAAGUGGAAUUCCCGGUGUAGUGGUGAUAUGCGUAGAUAUCGGGAGGAACACCGGUGGCGAAGGCGGGUCUCUGGGCCGAUACUGACGCUGAGGAGCGAAAGCGUGGGGAGCGAACAGG